rnacentral:lncRNA from 1 species
AGUAUCUCCCCACUACAGUGCGAGAAAAGUCAGGGCAAAGGAUUGAAAAGAAGUUCACAACAAAAAAGUUUGAACACAAGCAAACCUGAAACAGAUGCAGGGUAGUAGAUCUUAAGGGUGCGUUGCUCACUCCAGGGCCUGCUGCCACCCAGAUGGCUGGCAAACACCAGGACUCCGAACACAACAGGAUUCAGGGAUUCAGACAGGAGUCUUGCUCUACCAAUUAUUAUAGGAUCUUAGAUGCCUUUCCAGUAAAGCUAACAAAAAACAAAACAAAAUAAAACCAUAUCCAAAAUACUAAACAGCUGUCUCCAAGAUCAGAAGGCAUCAGAAAAGACCCUCAAGAGUUGUCUAAUCCCAGAGGAAGAUCUUAAGUGGGGAUGUGCUCACAGCAGAAACCUUGGAAAUUUCAGGGAGUGAAAUUUUAUUGUCAGAACUUUCAAUAAAAGUGUAGCCACAGAUCCUGGGAGCAUUAAAUAAAAAUUACCAACAAGCUGUCUUACCUGUGUGCACUCCACUGAAAGGAAGGGCAAACAUGAGCAAGGAGCUCUUGUACAUCAGUCAAAAUUCUGACAGCUACCCUGUGAAGUUUGACGGGCUGCCAUGUGCUAGACUACCUAAGAUACUCUUAACUGAACCAUAAAAAGACAAAUAAAUUAGUAAUUGUA